rnacentral:rRNA from 1 species
GUAUAGGGCCAAAAUAUCCUAAAGACUCCAGUACACUUCUGAUCUUGGGAGCUAGGCAUGCUCAGUCCUGGUUAAGACCUGGAUGGGAGACCACUGGAGAAUACCAGGUGCUCUAUAUU